rnacentral:rRNA from 1 species
ACGGGGUGCAGCAGGCGCGAAACCUUUACAAUGCGGGCAACCGUGAUAAGGGAACCUCGAGUGCCUGUAAACGCAGGCUGUUCAGGUGUUUAAAACGCACCUGGAGAAAGGGCCGGGCAAGACCGGUGCCAGCCGCCGCGGUAAUACCGGCGGCUCGAGUGGUGGCCGCUUUUAUUGGGCUUAAAGCGUUCGUAGCUGGGUUGUUAAGUCUCUUGGGAAAUCUGGCGGCUUAACCGUCAGGCGUCUAAGGGAUACUGGCAAUCUUGGAACCGGGAGAGGUGAGGGGUACUUCGGGGGUAGGGGUGAAAUCCUGUAAUCCUCGAGGGAACACCUGUGGCGAAGGCGCCUCACCAGAACGGCUUCGACAGUGAGGGACGAAAGCUGGGGGAGCAAACCGGAUUAGAUACCCGGGUAGUCCCAGCCGUAAACGAUGCGCGUUAGGUGUAUCGGUGACCACGAGUUACCGAGGUGCCGAAGGGAAACCGUGAAACGCGCCGCCUGGGAAGUACGGUCGCAAGGCUGAAACUUAAAGGAAUUGGCGGGGGAGCAC